rnacentral:rRNA from 1 species
UCGGGAGUAAUGAUCCGCACACUGUACUGAGAACCGCAUCAGUCUACGAGCAGCAGUGAGGAAUCUGGCACAUGAGGAAACUCUGAUGCAGGCAACGCCGCUUGGAGGAUGACGCAUUUCGGUGGGUAAACUCUUUUAUAAGGGAAGAAAAUGACGUACGUAUGAUAAGCACGGCUAACUUCCGUGCCAGCAGCCGCGGUAAUACGGAGGGUGCAAGCGUUACUCGGAAUCACUGGGCGUAAAGGACACGUAGGCGGGAUGCCAAGUCUGAUGUGAAAUCCUAUGGCUUAACCAUAGAACUGCAUUGGAAACUGGUAACCUAGAGUAUGGGAGGGGGAGAUGGAAUUAGUGGUGUAGGGGUAAAAUCCGUAGAUAUCACUAGGAAUACCGAAAGCGAAGGCGAUCUCCUGGAACAAUACUGACGCUAAGGCGUGAAAGCGUGGGGAGCAAACGGGAUUAGAUACCCCGGUAGUCCACGCCCUAAACGAUGUUCACUAGUCGUCGGAAUGCUAGUCAUUUCGGUGAUGCACUUAACAGAUUAAGUGAACCGCCUGGGGAGUACGGUCGCAAGAUUAAAACUCAAAGGAAUAGACGGGGACCCGCACAAGUGGUGGAGCAUGUGGUUUAAUUCGAAGAUACGCGAAGAACCUUACCUAGCCUUGACAUUGAUUGAACACUUUAGAGAUAGAGUGGUGCCCUUCGGGGAACAUGAAAACAGGUGCUGCACGGCUGUCGUCAGCUCGUGUCGUGAGAUGUUGGGUUAAGUCCCGCAACGAGCGCAACCCUCGUCCUUAGUUGCCAGCAGGUUAUGCUGGGCACUCUAAGGAGACUGCCUUCGCAAGGAGGAGGAAGGUGAGGACGACGUCAAGUCAUCAUGGCCCUUAUGGCUAGGGCUACACACGUGCUACAAUGGGGCGUACAGAGAGUUGCGAUACCGCGAGGUGGAGCCAAUCUCAUAAAGCGUCUCUCAGUUCGGAUUGAAGUCUGCAACUCGACUUCAUGAAGCUGGAAUCACUAGUAAUCGUAGAUCAGCAAUGCUACGGUGAAUACGUUCCCGGGUCUUGUACUCACCGCCCGUCACACCAUGGGAGUUGAUUUCACCCGAAAUUGGGAAGCUAACCUUCGGGAGGCUACCACUUACGGUGGAAUUAGCGACUGGGGUGAAGUCGUAACAAGG